GUGGGGAGCAAACAGGAUUAGAUACCCUGGUAGUCCACGCCGUAAACGAUGAGUGCUAAGUGUUAGAGGGUUUCCGCCCUUUAGUGCUGCAGCUAACGCAUUAAGCACUCCGCCUGGGGAGUACGGUCGCAAGACUGAAACUCAAAGGAAUUGACGGGGGCCCGCACAAGCGGUGGAGCAUGUGGUUUAAUUCGAAGCAACGCGAAGAACCUUACCAGGUCUUGACAUCCUCUGACAACUCUAGAGAUAGAGCGUUCCCCUUCGGGGGACAGAGUGACACGUGGUGCAUGGUUGUCGUCAGCUCGUGUCGUGAGAUGUUGGGUUAAGUCCCGCAACGAGCGCAACCCUUGAUCUUAGUUGCCAGCAUUUAGUUGGGCACUCUAAGGUGACUGCCGGUGACAAACCGGAGGAAGGUGGGGAUGACGUCAAAUCAUCAUGCCCCUUAUGACCUGGGCUACACACGUGCUACAAUGGAUGGUACAAAGGGCUGCAAGACCGCGAGGUCAAGUCAAUCCCAUAAAACCAUUCUCAGUUCGGAUUGUAGGCUGCAACUCGCCUACAUGAAGCUGGAAUCGCUAGUAAUCGCGGAUCAGCACGCCGCGGUGAUACGUUCCCGGG
rnacentral:rRNA from 1 species